AUUCACCACAAACUGUCAAGUAGAUGAAUGUUUCAUUUAGAUGGAAUUUAAGAUUUCACCCAGCAAGAAUCUACAAAUGCUUAUAGUGAGCCACAGUCUGAGAAAGGAAAAUCUAUUCUCCUUUUACUGGCAUGGUAUUAAAUUCUUCUCUUUUUCACUGUGAAGCCAUCUCAACCUUAAAUGGCACCACAUUUGACCUUUCUUGUUGCCAGUACUGGAAGAACCUUUCUAGACCAUGGACGUUAUUCAGCUUUGCAAUCCUGCAACUUCAUCAGCCAGUGAUUCUCCUUUUUUAAAUUGUCAUAUAUUUGCAGAAUGCUGCUUUUGUGUCAGUUCAAUUUUUAUAUGAAGGCUACAUUUAAGAAUUCCUCUCCUUGAUUACUUUUCUUUCCCCCCCUCCCCAUACUCUGUCCCUCCAAAACCAACCUCAGAUCAGAUCAUUUAUUCAGUCUAUGAAGUGGUGCCACAAACAGCUGCCUUAAAGCUUCUGAGCAGGCUGCAAACUGAGAUGAAGACUGGGAACAAGCAGCUGCAGAGAAGAUGGGCCAGGAAAUUCUAGGUCAUUGUGGCUACCAUACACUUCACAUCCUAGGACUAUGGCAAGAGGGACAUAAGCAUAAAUCCUCUGCUUCAGCUCUCCACUCAACCCUGGGACAGCUGCAGGUGACCUUCUCUCUUCCAGACACCAAAAUGUUUCUGGGAAUCGUUUUCCUAUAGCUACUUCACCUUGCUCAGGAUUUACAGCAGCAACGGUUGGGACACACCAGAGCCCUGUUAUUCCAUCUUCUAAAAUGUCUUCAGCUGAUCAAAAUUAUUCAUUAGCAACUUUUUCCCAAUAAUUUCCCUUCAAGUGAGAGAUGAAGUUCCCUUUGCCUGGCCAUUGCUCAUUGGCAGUAACAAACUCUCUUUUUCAUGCAGAUCACUAAUUACAGAGCAGACUGCUCACCAGUUUGAGGAACAAACAGUAAGUAAAGGAAUGGGGAAGCCUACGUGUGUGACAGCUGCAGCUGAGUUCUUAAAGAAGUGGUGUGAAUGUCUUCCUCAGCUUCAUGUCCUUGGUUUGAAUCACAUGGUGGGUGCCAACAAAUGAGAGUUAAAAAAGCUUUCCAGCCUGAACACGUGUAGCUGAAGCUGCCUGAGAUAGCUGACGUCAGCUUUUUUACUUCUAUGCUGAUGAGCUAAUGCAUGACAGCAAAACAUUGUAUGCACUAAAGAAAUGCAGGUAAGACCACAGGCUCUUGUUUUGUCUGUGAAACAGACGACAUACUCAACCUAUUCAUUAACAUGAAUCAAUGGAUUACAUAGUUCCCAUACAUUUAUGCUAAUAUAUACUCAUUUCUAGUGUUACAUCCCUGGUUUUGCUUUCAGCAUAAUAACAUUAUUUUUUUUACAGGAAGUUUUACUUUUCUUAUCCUAUUCCCAGACUCCUAUCCAUAGAUCUUUUCUCUCUAUCCACAGAGACAGAGAGGAACUUGGAGUAAAAAUAGUUAGAGGAGAGAAAAAUAGAGUUAGGGAGGGAUGGGAAAGCUGAUUUUGCCAAAUUUAGACCCUAUCAAAACCCCUUGGGUUCUGUAUUGCAAAACAGAGCUGGAAGCUUUUGGAUAUUGCUCUGGUCUGCUGUUUGCUACUCUUUUUCCCUUUUUUCUUUUUUUUUUUUCUUUUUUUUUUAAUAUUUCUCUGGUAUAACCCUGGAAACAGAGCAAGGCUUGCCUAAACUCUGCUUACUAGAACAAGUUAACAUGAAGAAAGAAUAUAUACCCAAAGCUGGAAAACGGAGAGAAGUAAAAUGGUUUCUUUGUUUGGAAAACUAAGGGAUCCUAACUGGUCUUUAGUGUGCUGAGAUAAAUUUCAGUCCUUAAAAGACUUUUACUCAAGAAAUAGCCAUUACUCUGCAGUCCAACUGUGAACUGAAGAUAGAGAAAUACAGGAGAAGACCCUAGAACUAGUUCUUAUUCAAACAGAUAGCUUCAUCUGCUUCACAGGUGAAAGAAUGAUCAAGGUUGCAUAAGACUUUACUUUCUCUUUCUACACAGAAUUUGGAGGAGUGAUGUGCCAAAGAACAGUGCUAUAAAAAUAUAUUUCUUCUGUGAAAAAUGUCAAAGAAUAACAAAUUAUAUUAUAUCAUUACUACCUUCCUUUCCUGACAGCUUAACUUCAAGAGAAAAGGAUUUAAAGCAGAAAUAAGACUUUUGAAAAUAUUAGUUAGCCUGCACAUCCCAGAAAAAAGAAUAUAGGUGUGGAACAAAUUUUUAAGCUCACUCUGUAAUCCAGGAUAAUAUGUAGUCAUAGCUCCCCAGGUGAAUCCUGAUCAGGAGUCAUAAGAAGUAACAGGUUGGAUUGUCCUUUUUUUGCUCCAGCUGGAAAGGAAUUGGCCAGCUGGAGAACCUGUGUUGGCACACACCUACCUUGAAUGGCUUUUUACAAGGACACUGAUUUAUGCAUGACUGCAAAGUUGUAAAGAAUUUCACC